GGCGGCGUGCUUAACACAUGCAAGUCGAACGCGAAAGGGACUUCGGUCCGUGAGUAAAGUGGCGCACGGGUGAGUAACGCGUAGAUAACCUGUCUUCAUGUCUGGAAUAAUACGCCGAAAGGGGUACUAAUACCGGAUAUUCUUGCUUUUCAUAAGUUAUGCAAGCAAAGGUGGCCUCUGCAUAUGCUACUGCAUGAAGAGGGGUCUGCGUACCAUUAGCUAGUAGGUGGGGUAAUGGCCUACCUAGGCGACGAUGGUUAGCGGGUCUGAGAGGAUGAUCCGCCACACUGGCACUGGAACACGGGCCAGACUCCUACGGGAGGCAGCAGUGAGGAAUAUUGCGCAAUGGGGGAAACCCUGACGCAGCGACGCCGCGUGAGUGAGGAAGGCCUUCGGGUCGUAAAGCUCUGUCAAGAGGAAAGAAGUGUACAAUGGCUAAUACCUGUUGUAUUUGACGGUACCUCUAAAGGAAGCACCGGCUAACUCCGUGCCAGCCGCCGC
rnacentral:rRNA from 1 species